AGGAAGAUAAAAGGCAUCUUUUAUCUUUUAAAAGACCUAGUAAUAGGUAUGCUUUAGGAGGGGCUUGCGCCAUAUUAGUUAGUUGGUAGGGUAAUGGCCUACCAAGACGAUGAUGUGUAGCUGGACUGAGAGGUUGAACAGCCACAUUGGGACUGAGACACGGCCCAAACUCCUACGGGAGGCAGCAGUAGGGAAUUUUCGGCAAUGGAGGAAACUCUGACCGAGCAACGCCGCGUGAAUGACGAAGUACUUCGGUAUGUAAAGUUCUUUUAUCAAGGAAGAAAAGCAAAUGGCGAACCAUUUGUUUGCCGGUACUUGAUGAAUAAGCCCCGGCUAAUUAUGUGCCAGCAGCCGCGGUAAGACAUAAGGGGCAAGUGUUAUCCGGAAUUAUUGGGCGUAAAGGGUGCGUAGGCGGUCUAGUAAGUCAGUGGUGUAAUGGCAACGCUUAACGUUGUCCGGCUAUUGAAACUGCUAAACUUGAGUUAGAUAGAGGCGAGUGGAAUUCCAUGUGUAGCGGUAAAAUGCGUAAAUAUAUGGAGGAACACCAGAGGCGUAGGCGGCUCGCUGGGUCUUAACUGACGCUGAGGCACGAAAGCGUGGGGAGCAAACAGGAUUAGAUACCCUGGUAGUCCACGCCGUAAACGAUGAGUACUAAGUGUCGGGUUAAACCGGUACUGAAGUUAACACAUUAAGUACUCCGCCUGAGUAGUACGUACGCAAGUAUGAAACUUAAAGGAAUUGACGGGACUCCGCACAAGCGGUGGAUCAUGUUGUUUAAUUCGAAGAUACCCGAAAAACCUUACCAGGUCUUGACAUGUUUUUGCAAAAUGAUAGUAAUAUCGUGGAGGUUACCAGAAACACAGGUGGUGCAUGGUUGUCGUCAGCUCGUGUCGUGAGAUGUUAGGUUAAGUCCUAAAACGAGCGAAACCCUUAUCGUUAGUUGCCAGCACGUUAUGGUGGGGACUUUAACGAGACUGCCAAUGAUAAAUUGGAGGAAGGUGAGGAUCACGUCAAAUCAGCAUGCCCCUUAUGACCUGGGCUACAAACGUGAUACAAUGGCUGUUACAAAGGGUAGCUGAAACGCAAGUUCUUGGCCAAUCCCCAAAAACAGUCCCAGUCCGGAUUGAAGUCUGCAACUCGACUUCAUGAAGUUGGAAUCGCUAGUAAUCGCGAAUCAGCAUGUCGCGGUGAAUACGUUCUC
rnacentral:rRNA from 1 species